UUGUUCUGAUUUGCUUAUUGCACCACAUGUGUUUUUCUUUGAAACAAACUUGCUUUGGCGGUGGGCCCAGCCUGCCGCCAGAGGUCUAAACUUACAACCAAUUUUUUAUCAACUUGUCACACCAGAUUAUUACUAAUAGUCAAAACUUUCAACAACGGAUCUCUUGGUUCUCGCAUCGAUGAAGAACGCAGCGAAAUGCGAUACGUAAUAUGAAUUGCAGAUAUUCGUGAAUCAUCGAAUCUUUGAACGCACAUUGCGCCCUCUGGUAUUCCGGAGGGCAUGCCUGUUUGAGCGUCGUUUCUCCCUCAAACCGCUGGGUUUGGUGUUGAGCAAUACGACUUGGGUUUGCUUGAAAGACGGUAGUGGUAAGGCGGGAUCGCUUUGACAAUGGCUUAGGUCUAACCAAAAACAUUGCUUGCGGCGGUAACGUCUACCACGUAUAUCUUCAAACUUUGACCUCAAAUCAGGUAGGACUACCCGCUGAACUUAAGCAUAUCAAAAGCCGGGGGGA
rnacentral:rRNA from 1 species